rnacentral:pre_miRNA from 1 species
GCACAGUGCUCUAGGAAAGUAAAGCUCACUUCGUACUUUUCUCUGGCACUGCGAG